GCCGGGGCCAAAGCAUUGUGUGUUUCAGGGGGUCUGGCCAACUGCCUCCACGAGGGAGACUUCCACGACAAGACCGCCGCCCCAGCCUGGAGCAGGUCAGAGCUGCGGCAAGUGGGCUUUCAGAAGGGCUGUCCAGCUUUCAGCAGGGGACCGACCACCACCAAGCUCUGUUGAGUUCCUAUCUACAAGAACUUCACACUGCAGCUAGACUUCUUCCUCACAUCACCAAGCAGCCCUCAUGGCCUAAGCUUAACACAGGAGAACAGAAGCAGGAGGAGAAUGACAAAAUCCAGUGGGCCCACCUUGAAGCAACUCCCCAGGAAAUUUUACACCAGAAAUGGAGGAUGCAAGAAAAAGAAGAGCCCAGAGGAGGACCAUCCUGAGACUGUUGGAGUUGCCAGGGUGGCACAGAGUGUAACAAUCACUCAUUCAGCAAACACGCAGUGAGUGUGUGUUGGCCUGAGGCGCUGGACUCGAACGCAGCGGGUAACCGCUGAGCUUUGGGUAUGGUGUCCUGUGUACCGGGUCGCUUCACUUUUACUAACUCAUUGAAGUACCACAGUCCUGCGAUUAUUUCUGUUAAAACGGGCUUGCCUACAACAUGGUUCCUCCUGGGGCCAGGCCUAAUCCACCACCCCAAAUGAAGCCGAGUCCCCGUAAAACUGAGUUCUCAGCUUCCCUGGCGGUUCAGCGAUUGACUCCACACUUCCACUGCAGAGGAUGUGCGUUUCAUCCCUGGUCAGGAAAUCAAGAUCCUGCUGCCAUGUGGAGCAGCCAAAGAACAAAACCAAACCAAGUUCUCUUGCUGAGUUUAUGAUUAAUCUCUCUAUCCCAAACUUUCUUCCCUUUCUUGUCCCACCCCUGUCCCCCUCAAGACUGAGACGUAUCAAAGAAAAGGGGGAGGAUUGAAACCCAACAGGAUCCUGAAGGCACUUCCUGGGUACAAAAGCUCCUCCGUGUUCCCCAUUUCUUGUUGACAAAAAAGAAAGGCUUUAGUCUCCUAGGCCUUCCCAGAGGGCAGGCUCAAGCAGCUAAUGAUUAGGACAAUAGUCACAGGACUCCCAGUUCCUCCUGAUGGGAUACAGAAAGGCAAUCUGAUGGAUAUCAUUGAGCUGUUCUGCAGAAACUGAGGCCUCACCCAGGUGGAGGAGGGUGACUACAUGCUGACCACAAGCACGUGGACCCCAGGUUGGUAGGAACCAGAAGGAUGAUGACCGAGAUUCCCAGAAACAACACUCUAUGACCUCACCACACACCAGUCAGAAGAAGGCCCAUGAGCUGAUCACUCAUCCUGACACUGUCUUUAAAAACUCUUGCCUGUACACACUAACAUAUGUAAAAUGGAUAGCCAGUGGGAAUUUGCUCUGUGACUCCGGAUCUCAAACCAGGGCCCUGUGACAACCUAGAGGAGUGGGAUGGGGUGGGAGGUGGGAGAAAGGCUCAAGGGGGAGGUGACAUAUGUACACCUAUGGCUGAUCCAUGUUGAUGUAUGGCAGAAACCAACACAAUACUGUAAUUAUCCUUCAAUUAAAUAAAUUAAAAAAAAAAAAAAAAAAAAAACCCUUGCCUGAAAAUCAUCAAGAAGUUUGGGUCUUUGAAGCAUGAGCUUGGAGCCCGGCAAACACUUGUUGUCAGAGUUUAGUUUUCUGUGUCUCCCGGUACAUGAAUCCCUGCUUGGUAAUAUAACCAUCAGUGAGAAUUCAAACCCCUUCCUUCACUCUCCUGCAUAAACAGUAAUCACAGAAAGCAAAGAAGUUGUGGUCACGACAGCAGAGAAGUGGAGGAAUACAAAUAUGCUUACCCCUCUGUGCACAGAGCUCGCCCCACAGAAACCUUCACGCUCCAAACACCUCCAAAGUGGAGUAUCUGUCCACUCCCUCCAGCCUAUGCUCUGGACAUUUUGCUGAGACAUCAGAGAAGACACAGCAUUUAAAUGGAUAUCCUGAACAAGUACAUCUACUCUGGACAUCAGGCAGAUGAAAAGGUGAAAAACCCUAGUGCAAAUCACACGGUUGUAUUUCCACGAAUAGAACUGGCCCAGCCUGGAAGGUAACCCUUCACCCUGUGUUUGAGGGGGAAGAAGGAUCCCACAAUAUAAUUAUACUCCUUUCUAAUAAGAUAAU